rnacentral:lncRNA from 1 species
CAUAUCGAUCUGUCUUGGAACCCGAUUUGUGGUCAUAGUAUUCGACUACAGCAGCACCAGCAAGAGCAGCCAGUGUGAGAGCCUGUGCAUGCAACCUGAGAUUAAGUUUGUAAUACACAAGUGGUCAGCAAGGUGAGAGAACAAAAAUGAUGUCUGAACUUUAGUAGACAUAAAUUAAGAGCACAAGGUUUAAUAUUUGAAGACAAGGUAAAAAAAUUAGAGAUAAAAUAAAGCAUUAGUUGAAAUAAUUAUAGUUACUACUUCACAUAAUUUUACAACAAGAAUUAUUGCAAAGGAAUUUUUUUUUUUUAAUACUCCGGACUUGUCACAUACGACAUACCCCACACAAGGAACUUGACUCUGAAAUUAUGGCUCCCCCAAAGAACCCUACAAAAUUUAGGGGAGCAAGAAAUUCAAAGUUUUUUUGUCAGAUAUGUAGCCUGAGGAAUCCAACCCCAAACCCUGUAUGAGCGAACCACAUGCUUGACCAUUCGACUAACCCUCAGGUUGAUUCUAAUUGGCAUUUAACUGUAAGAGUUACUAUAGUGACUAAAAUAUCAUGAAAGCGGUUCUAUGACUUCAAUGACAACAAUAACAACAAAAACAGAGGGUUAUCUUGUCUGCUUUUGAAGAUUGGAAUCAUUACAAUUUAAUAACCUCCUAGCUAAUGGCUUCAAACAUCCCCAAACAAUUUUCUUUGGGGGCCAACGACAACACCUUAAGUUAAUAAAAGAGGAACGAAACAUUCUUUGGUCUGAAACACAAGCACACCCCUUAUCAAAUACGAUGCACCAACAACACAGACAAUUAAGCUUGCUGAAGGUAGCAGCAACAAACUUGUAAUAUACACAACCACUAAGAAUAGCCCCAACUUCCCUACAUUUCCCCAUUGACCAUUGCCACCAUCACCAACAACAUAAACGAACCACAAAGCAACCAUUCUUUGUCACCAAAAAGGAUGGUGCAAGAAACGAUUUGCAGAAAGCAAUGCUUGUACAUUACAAUAAAAGAAUUAUGGGGAAUUCAUAACACAAAGCAUCCAUCAGGUUUGGAAGUCGCAGAUGGGAUUACAAAUUCAGAAUUUAAAUCUGAUUAUUCCAUUUGACCCAAAGCUAAAUUAUCUAGAACUUCAGAUUAAAUUCGCACCAUCUCUUUAGAUACCAAAAAUUAAAUAAAUAAAUACAAAUUGCCAACCUACUUUCAAUCAAUCAACAUAAACAAAAUCCCAAUUCCCAAAUCAAAAAAUCUUUUUCUUUAUUAAAAAAAAAGAUAAAGAAAGAAAAAU